rnacentral:lncRNA from 1 species
AACUACUAGAAAUUCUUCAUUUUUAACCAUUUUAUGUUCUUGUAGAAACAAAAAUAUUAACAAUAGUCUAAACAAUUCUGAAAUUAAACCACUUUGCCAAACGAAUUUAAUUAAAGACACCCCAGAUUUGGGGGGUUCACCUUUCACGUGCCAGCUGAACAAGGAAGCGAAAGUAGAGAGCCUAUAUAUUCUGUGGCCUAGCUUGCGGAGUUCGAAGAACAGAAUACAGUAAAGUGUGUUUUCCUCGUUAAUUAAACAUUUCAGAUUUGCCCAUGGCAAACUGUGAUUCUUUCCUACGCGAUAAGUUCAAACUGAAAGGGGUGAGUGGCUUGAAUUUUUAUUUUUCUCGAUCGUGUUUACAUGUCAAUGAUGUCAUGACAAUCAUGACAUAACAUUGUCUUUGAUGCCCAAGAGCUUCAGUUCUGUUCUACAAUUAAUUAAUAUUAUGUUCUUAUAUUUUAUAGUAUCCAAAUAAAUCCCAAGCAUUAAGUGAUGCCAAAACUGCCUUAGAACAAUAUAAAACACUAAAGCCAAUUUUUAAAAACUGCUGUAAGUUAUAAUAUUGAAAUUUUGUGUUGUGGUUUUAUACUAGUUUGUAUGUACGUUAUUAUAAAAGCAUGAAGAAUAGACGUUUUUAGGCAACACCAUAAGUGGGGCCAACACAGUGGCAGAUUGCAUUUAUUUUCCGCACAGCGGGGGUUGAGGACGGGUAGGACAAUACACAAAUCUCAAAAUUCGGGCAAAAAUCACACUUAAUUAAAGAAAAACAUGUAGCUGUGACUAGAUGAUUUAAAGGGGGGGAGGGGAGUGAAUAGGUUUUCGGAUUGUUGGAAUAUUUCACAGAAAAAAUUGUUUGGAUUAACUUCGGAUCAGGUGAAUACAUAGACGGAUUUUCAUAUUUUUUACUGGGGUGGUGCCAGAAAUUUUAGGGGGGUGAGCCGUGAGCAGGAGACUGAAGCAACACAAAGUGUCACCAAACCCCAGUAAGGUCUAUUAUAGAUUCUAGGGGUGGAGCACUAGAGCCGCGAGGGGGAGUCUAGAGAGCAGAAAACAAAGUAUCCCUGGAAAAAUUUGAAAAAAAUCAUGAUUUCUAGCUUCAAAAAAAAGUUUUUUGAAGUUGUCAUAUCAAUGGAUUUGGUAUGCAUGUCCAAUUGUCUGUUGAGAUUUGAGCGAGUUAAAGUUAAAUAAACCUGUAAAAGUGUAAACCCAGCCAAUACACAAUAUGCUUGUCCGAUUGUCUGUUGAGACUUGAGUUAAAUGAACCUGUAAAAGUGUAAACCCAAUAGGCCAAUACACAAUAUGCUUUUACUUUUAUAAAAUCAUUGACAUUGUGUCGUUUGAAUCCAAGUACAAUUUAUGAUGCAACUCCGAUGUAAAUAAUAUUUGGGACGUAAAGAUUAAAUCUAGGCAAGACUAUUUCCUAAAAGAAUUAAAAACUAAAAAUAAUGUUCGUAAAAUUUCCAAACGUUCCUUGCAAGCAAGCUAUUUGCAUGACAAGGCACUGCAAACUCUAUUCAGGGGAGAUAAUAGAGUUUCAAAACUUUACAAUUGGUCCAAUAAACCAGUGAAUGCAAGCGAGAAGCGAUUAGUUUCAGAGUAUUGCACUGUCUUUUUCUGUUUGAGUGUACUCCUACGUUUAUUUUGUAUCAUCAACACUCUGCACGUUGGAGUGGACUAUUUAAUUAUUUUUUAUUAUGCCGAAU